CUUCCUGGCCCGCGGCGUCGGGCCGGGCCGGGCCGGGCGCGCGGUCGGCGCGGCGGCCCCCGGGUGCGGGCCGGAGUCGUUGCCGGAACGCGCGGCGGGACCCGCUGCCGGGGAAGCGUGUGGCGCCGCUUAGGAAAGCGCCCGGGGCUGGCGUGUCAGUCGGUUGUUUAACACACAUUACCUGCUCGCCCGGAGACCGGUCACGUGCAGAAAGCUUUGUCCGAGUCUUUGAAAAGACACAUCAUCUCAGAUGCUACCAAACUCCGGAAUCAGCGAUCCCAGCCACCGACUGGCCGGUACAGCAGGCCAGUUAUUUAUCAAAGUACAUUAAAAGCCACCCUCCUGGAUUCCCGCACAGCGCUGCCUGCCCCUGAGUGGGCAGAGGGGAGGCUUACUGUCCCGUUGGUUUGGAGACCAGCACGGUGGUAGAUAAUAAAUUUCCUGGAAAGGGGAGUAUACGAUUCUUGUGUAUAAUGGCUUUUUACAAACAUCGUUAAACAUUAACAGACGACCUUAAAUCUCAAUUUCAGUGAUAGUACAAAAUUGCCACCUGAACAUUGCACCUGCGUUGCAAGUCAAAGAUAAAUAAAUAAACAACACAGCCAUUCACGGUUGCUGCAGAAGAUAAAGCCCGAGAAAGAGACGCUGGGCUAAGAGGGGGAGGGGUACGUGUUGAGAAGAGUUACUGGGGCUGGUGCUGUGGCACAGUGGGUUAACACCCUGGCCUGAAGCAUCGGCAUCCCAUAUAGACCCGGCUGCUCCACUUCUGAUCCAGCUCUCUGCUAUGGCCUGGGAAAGCAGUAGAAGAUGGCCCAAGUCCUUGGGGCCCUGCACCCACAUGGGAGACCCGGAAGAAGCUCCUGGCUCCUGCCAUCGGAUCAGCGCAGUGCGCCGGCCGCAGUGUACCGGCCGUGGUGGCCAUUGGAGGGUGAACCAACGGCAAAGGGAGACCUUUCUCUCUGUCUCUCUCUCUCUGACUAUCCACUCUGCCUAUCAAAAAAAAAAGAAAAAAGAAAAUGUGAAUCAGUGUUAUCUAGCACAGUCUCCAUGUCUUAGGGAACAUGAGCAUAACUGGGUAGAUCAAAUUACCCACCAGGAAGUUGAGGCCCCAUAUUUCAGUUGCCCCCCACCAAGGCCACAUAAUUGGCUGAUGGUGGGGCAAGGUUGGAAAUCCAGGUGCCCUCUCUGUCAAAGGUGACCAUGCAGCUUGCCUGGCUUCUCAGAAACAGCCAGCCUACGUAUGACUUGAGGCCACAGGGUCAAAGUCGAGUUCAACUCCUCCCUUACCGGCUUCUCUUGCCCAGGUGUAGCAAAUAUCCUGGCUAGGAUGACCACAGUAGAGGGGCUUGGUUGUGGAGAGGAGGGCAGUGGAGUCCGAGGAGGGGCGGCCCACAGGGGAAAGCUUGCACUGCUGAGUUUCCUUCUGAGAAGAUGAAAAUGGCUCAUGAGGGUCAUAGGCAUCAGAACACCAGGCAAGAGCCCAUCCGCCUGUGUUCUCAGGUCCCUGUGUGUUCCCUCGGACACCAGCAGGGGAUCUGUUGUUUUACAGGGUACCCUAGUAACAGGCACGCAGAGACCAACCACGUAUGGUAACUGAGAGUUAAGGAACAACAGAAGAAAACAUGAAGAGGCUCAACCUUAAAUCUAGAGAUAGCAGAUUUUCCGAUGUUCUGAUCAGAGAGUAGGGGGCCACCACCUGCAAUGCUGGAAUCCCACAUGGGUGCCGUUUCACAUCCUGGCUGCUCCACUGCUAAUGGCCUGGGAAAGCAGCAGCAGAUGGCCCAAGUUCUUGGGCCCCCACACCCAUGUGGGAGACUUUAAAAGUUCCUGGCUCCUGGCUUCAGCCUGGCCCAGUGCUGGCGGUUGCAGCUAUCUGGGGAGUGAACCAGUGGGUGGAAGAUUUCUCUCUGUGUCUGCCCCUCUCUGUGUGUAACUCUUUCAAAAUAAAUAAAUAAAUCUUUUAAAAAAUGUUUGAGUGGGGACUUAGCUACCAAGAUUGCAUUUCCUGUAUUUUGUUUUUUCUUUUAAGGACACAGUUCUGUAAACAUAACUGAUGUUGUGGUGUAGCUGGUAAAGCCACCACCUGCAAUACCAGCAAGGCUGUUCCACUUCCCAUCAAGCUCCCUGCUAAUGGCCUGGGAAAAGCAGUGGACCCCUGCACCCUUGAGGGAGACCCAGAAGCAGCUCCUGGCUCCUGGCUUUGGCCUGACCCAGCCCUGGCUGUUGUAGCCAUUUGAGGAGUGAACCAGCAAAUGGGAGAUUUCCGUCUCUCUCUCUAUCUCUAUCUCUGCCUUUCAAAUAAAUAAAUCUUUUAAAAAUAAAUAAA